AUACAUGCAAGUCGAGCGGACAGAUGGGAGCUUGCUCCCUGAUGUUAGCGGCGGACGGGUGAGUAACACGUGGGUAACCUGCCUGUAAGACUGGGAUAACUCCGGGAAACCGGGGCUAAUACCGGAUGGUUGUUUGAACCGCAUGGUUCAAACAUAAAAGGUGGCUUCGGCUACCACUUACAGAUGGACCCGCGGCGCAUUAGCUAGUUGGUGAGGUAACGGCUCACCAAGGCAACGAUGCGUAGCCGACCUGAGAGGGUGAUCGGCCACACUGGGACUGAGACACGGCCCAGACUCCUACGGGAGGCAGCAGUAGGGAAUCUUCCGCAAUGGACGAAAGUCUGACGGAGCAACGCCGCGUGAGUGAUGAAGGUUUUCGGAUCGUAAAGCUCUGUUGUUAGGGAAGAACAAGUACCGUUCGAAUAGGGCGGUACCUUGACGGUACCUAACCAGAAAGCCACGGCUAACUACGUGCCAGCAGCCGCGGUAAUACGUAGGUGGCAAGCGUUGUCCGGAAUUAUUGGGCGUAAAGGGCUCGCAGGCGGUUUCUUAAGUCUGAUGUGAAAGCCCCCGGCUCAACCGGGGAGGGUCAUUGGAAACUGGGGAACUUGAGUGCAGAAGAGGAGAGUGGAAUUCCACGUGUAGCGGUGAAAUGCGUAGAGAUGUGGAGGAACACCAGUGGCGAAGGCGACUCUCUGGUCUGUAACUGACGCUGAGGAGCGAAAGCGUGGGGAGCGAACAGGAUUAGAUACCCUGGUAGUCCACGCCGUAAACGAUGAGUGCUAAGUGUUAGGGGGUUUCCGCCCCUUAGUGCUGCAGCUAACGCAUUAAGCACUCCGCCUGGGGAGUACGGUCGCAAGACUGAAACUCAAAGGAAUUGACGGGGGCCCGCACAAGCGGUGGAGCAUGUGGUUUA
rnacentral:rRNA from 1 species